rnacentral:rRNA from 1 species
GAGUAACACGUGGGUAACCUACCUAUAAGACUGGGAUAACUCGGGAAACCGGAGCUAAUACCGGAUAAUAUUUCGAACCGCAUGGUUCGAUAGUGAAAGAUGGUUUUGCUAUCACUUAUAGAUGGACCUGCGCCGUAUUAGCUAGUUGGUAAGGUAACGGCUUACCAAGGCGACGAUACGUAGCCGACCUGAGAGGGUGAUCGGCCACACUGGAACUGAGACACGGUCCAGACUCCUACGGGAGGCAGCAGCC